rnacentral:rRNA from 1 species
UGCUUGGUGACAAUAGCGAGAUGGAACCACCUGAUCCCAUUCCGAACUCAGUAGUGAAACGUCUUAGCGCCGAUGGUAGUGUGGGAGUUCCCAUGUGAGAGUAGGUCAUUGCCAAGCUU